rnacentral:rRNA from 1 species
GAUGAACGCUAGCGGCGUGCCUAAUACAUGCAAGUCGAGCGAACAGACUAGGAACUUUCUCCUCUGACGUGAGCGGCGGACGGGGGAGUGACACGUGUGUAACCUACCUAUAAAACUGGGAUAAAGUCGGGAAACCGGAGCUAAUACCGGAUAAUAUAUUAAACCUUAUGGUUCUAUAGUGAAAGACGGUUUUUAUGUCACUGAUAGAUGGAUCCGCGCCGCAUUAGCUAGUUGGUAAGGUAACGGCUUACCAAGGCAACGAUGCGUAGGCGACGUGAUAGGGUGGUCGGCCACACCGGACCUGAACCAAGGUACAGACUACUAAGGGAGGCAGGAGUAGGGUAUCUUACGCAAUGGGAGAAAGCGUGACGGAGAACAGCCGCGUCAGUGAUGAAGGUAUUGGGCUAGUGAAUGUAUGUUAUUUGGGACGAACAAAUGUGUAAGUAACUAUGAACGUCUUGACGGUACCUAAUCAGAAAGCCACGGCUAACUCCGUG